rnacentral:rRNA from 1 species
UUUGGAUACUGAUUGGCUUGAGUGCGGAAGAGGUAAGUGGAAUUCCCAGUGUAGCGGUGAAAUGCGUAGAGAUUGGGAGGAACACCAGUGGCGAAGGCGACUUACUGGGCCGUAACUGACGCUGAGGCGCGAAAGCGUGGGGAGCGAACAGGAUUAGAUACCCUGGUAGUCCACGCGGUAAACGAUGAAUGCUAGGUGUUGCGGGUAUCGACCCCUGCAGUGCCGGAGUAAACACAAUAAGCAUUCCGCCUGGGGAGUACGGCCGCAAGGUUGAAACUCAAAGGAAUUGACGGGGGCCCGCACAAGCAGCGGAGCAUGUUGUUUAAUUCGAAGCAACGCGAAGAACCUUACCAGGUCUUGACAUCGAGGUAAAGCCAUAGAGAUAUGGUGUGAGUUCGCUCGACCGAAGACAGGUGGUGCAUGGUUGUCGUCAGCUCGUGUCGUGAGAUGUUGGGUUAAGUCCCGCAACGAGCGCAACCCUUAUGGUCAGUUACUAACGGUUAGGCCGAGGACUCUGACAAGACUGCCGGGGACAACUCGGAGGAAGGUGGGGACGACGUCAAAUCAUCAUGCCCCUUAUGACCUGGGCUACAAACGUGCUACAAUGGUGACUACAAAGAGAAGCGAGACCGUGAGGUGGAGCGGAUCUCAAAAAAGUCAUCUCAGUUCGGAUUGUGGGCUGCAACCCGCCCACAUGAAGUUGGAGUUGCUAGUAAUCGCGAAUCAGCAUGUCGCGAUGAAUACGUUCCCGGGCCUUGUACACAC